AGAAUUUUCAAGCCAACCACUACAGCAGCAGUCAUAAGAAGAUGGUGUGAUUUCAAAGGUACAAGGCAUUGACAGAGUACUUUUGAUUGUUAUGACAUCCUGAGCAGAUAUGGGAAAUCCUUCUCAAGUUUCAAUACAUAAAAAUUCCAAAUAAAAUAUAAUAACAGCAAGAACAAAA
rnacentral:lncRNA from 1 species